AUUGAACGCUGGCGGAAUGCUUUACACAUGCAAGUCGAACGGCAGCACGGACUUCGGUCUGGUGGCGAGUGGCGAACGGGUGAGUAAUGUAUCGGAACGUGCCCAGUCGUGGGGGAUAUCGUAGUGAAAAUUACGCUAAUACCGCAUACGAUCUAUGGAUGAAAGCGGGGGAUCGCAAGACCUCGCGCGAUUGGAGCGGCCGAUAUCAGAUUAGGUAGUUGGUGGGGUAAAGGCCCACCAAGCCAACGAUCUGUAGCUGGUCUGAGAGGACGACCAGCCCCACUGGAACUGAGAAACGGUCCAGACUGCUACGGGAGGCAGCAGUGGGGAAUUUUGGACAAUGGGCGAAAGCCUGAUCCAGCCAAUCCGCGUGCAGGAUGAAGGGCCUCGGGUUGUAAACUGCUUUUGUAAAGAAAGAAAAGGUUUCUACUAAUACUAGGAGCUCAUGACGGUACUGUAAGAAUAAGCACCGGCUAACUACGUGCCAGCCGCCGCGGUAA
rnacentral:rRNA from 1 species